AGCCUGGUGAAGCUGGAGUUAUCUGGGUCCGUUGGAAUCUCACAGGGAGCGAACAGCCACCUCCACUCAGACCCCGCCCCCGGCCCAUUCACUCGGAAUCUCUGGGGCGGAGCUUUCUACCGGCUCCCUGGGCUGAGCCCGCCCGUCUGCUGGCGGGAAGCCAGAGGUCCGGGCUGAGGGCCCUGUGCCACAGGCUCUCAGCACGAUGCCUUCCUGCGCGAGCCCAAACUUGUGUGCCUCAGCUUCCUUGUCGGCUUCGAGGGGAUAAAGAUGCCUGUCCUGGGCUGCCCUGGGGUUGGGGGUGGUGCCCCUGCAUCCCCAAGUGGACGGUGAGCGAGAGGGCAGGAGCCACAGCUUCCUCGGUGCUGCGUGCAGAAGGGGAAGGGCCGUCCGUGGGAACCGGGACCCAGGCGGAAAGGAAGGCCAGGUGUCUCCACUUAUCAUAAGAGUCUCCAGCGUACAGUUCUCGGUACAGUUCUCCAGAAUCUGUCCUGGAAGACGACUCUGCCCAGGAGAUGGCCACCCACUCCAGAAACCCCAAACUGACCCGUAGCAACUGACCCCCCAGAAACCCCAAACUGACCCCUAGCAACUGACCCCCAGCAAAGCUGAGCCGGAUUCCAGGGAAGAGCCAGGCAAAGCUUUCCCCACUUGUCUCUAGUUUGUGUUUUCUCUUCAGCUUCCUCUUGUGAUUUCUAAACCAAACAGCUUCCUAGGACGCAAAAUGAAGUGUUUUAAAAUGAGGCAAUGAAAGAAAUCAUUUGUUCUCUGAUGACAGCUGGUUAUUUUAACGGGGGUUAAAGUCCCGAGUUUCUUGGACUCAGCGCUGACUUGGGAAUGCUGCCGGCUUUGUGUCCACACGAGGGCGCUCUUGACCGUGGCUGCUGGGUAUGGCUCGUGUCCAGGGUCAAAACUGGAGCCCCUGGAAUCAGGGCAUCCAUUUUCCUUUUAUUUGUUUCUUUAUAAACAAUUUAUUUAUUUAUUUGGCUGCACCAGGUCUUGGUCGCAGCACGUGGGCACCUUGAUCUUCGCUGUGGCAUGCCAGAUCUUCAGUUGCAGCAUGCAGGACC
ensembl:lncRNA